UACGGAGGGUGCAAGCGUUAUUCGGAAUUACUGGGCGUAAAGCGCACGUAGGCGGUUUAGUAAGUCUGGUGUGAAAUCCCACGGCUCAAUCGUGGAAGUGCAUUAGAUACUGCUAGACUAGAGUACAGGAGAGGUAAGCGGAAUUCCUGGUGUAGAGGUGAAAUUCGUAGAUAUCAGGAGGAACAACAGAGGCGAAGGCGGCUUACUGGACUGUUACUGACGCUAAGAUGCGAAAGCGUGGGGAGCAAACGGG
rnacentral:rRNA from 1 species